AUUGACAGAUUGAGCUGACUAUCAUUUGGCCACCGGUUCUGAGGAUAACACUUGUCGGAUUUGGGACUCGAGAAAGAAAAAGUCAGUGUACAUAAUUCCUGCCCAUUCAAAGCUUAUUUAACAGGUCAAAUUUGAGCCUUCCUCAAGAGGGAUAUUAUUUGGUCACUGCUUCAUAUGAUACAACUGUUAAGGUAUGCUCAUCUCGGGACUUCAAGCUUAUCAGGACAUUGUCAGGAGGACAUGAAGCAAGAGUUGCAUCCUUAGAUGUCACAUGCGGAAAAAGCACAAUGUUCUUGGAAGAUUUGAUUGCUAAUGGAUGAUGUCAAACAUCUGUUGAAUCAGUUUGAUAAAGUUUCUUCCCGUCACAUAUAUCGAGAAGUUAACCGUCAGCAGAUUAUGUUGCGGUUGUAGGUCGCCAUGUUACGAUACACCAAGAUAUUGAUCCUUACAUAGACCGUAAAAGUUCUUAUUUUAUUUCUUAAGAUAAGUUAGAAUACAGUCUUCAGAGAAUAUUUUUCUAACUUUUGUAUACUUUUAUGUAAGGAUAUGAGAAUAAUUUCUCCAAUUACUGAGUAGGUUUUUUUACCUACAUUUAUGGAAGAAAAAAGAAAACAAAAGUGAUGUUUUUAUUUUAUUAUUUCGGUUUCUUUUAAAUACAUCACUUGCUAUUUAUGGGUA